rnacentral:lncRNA from 1 species
CUUUGACAGCUAUACUUUAUAAGAAAGGUGCUUUUCAAUGAAGAAAAAUCCUCGUUCAAUCGUCCUAAGCUAAAUAUGUUUUUGUUUUUUGGCCAGAGACUAGCUCUUAGCUCUUAAAGGAAGGAGAAUGAUCUAUUUCGUAAAUGUAGCUAACGAAAACAAUUCACAACGGUCUGCUCUUGCUAGGCUCCUAACUGAGCUCUAAGAGUCUCAUUCAUAUGAGGAAGCCAUGAAGAAAAGAAGUCAUGGUCCUUUGGCCAUUUUGUUCAUUUUUUGAUUAUAGGGUUGAUGUUCCCAUGCGUUAUGUCGUUGCUUGUUUAAGUAAGCCGCUUCCAUAGGUCGCCCUAUGGGGAACGGAGCUGAACAACGAUAAAAUAAAGGCUAGAGACAUCUUCAAACAAAGAAAAAAAGAUUCG